rnacentral:rRNA from 1 species
UACAGAGGUCUCAAGCGUUGUUCGGAUUCAUUGGGCGUAAGGGUGCGUAGGCGGCGCGGUAAGUCGGGUGUGAAAUCUUGGAGCUUAACUCCGAAACUGCAUUCGAUACUGCCGUGCUUGAGGACUGGAGAGGAGACUGGAAUUUACGGUGUAGCGGUGAAAUGCGUAGAUAUCGAUAAGGAAGACCAGUGGCGAAGGCGGGU